CCCUAUUUUUUUUUUUCUUUGUCCCAAUGAGCUAUACAAUGGGCACAGCUCUCCCCAAAUCAAAACCUCCACCAAAAAAAAAGAGUUUCAAGCAGCAGAAGAGCUAAAAGUCUUGAGCUUUUACCACCAGAACAGAACAAAAUCACUGGUAUUUUGUGAUGAUGUUGCCAAGUCAGUUUAAUAACUCAGUUAGAUGCAAUGAAUAUAUACACAUUUUUUUCACAGGAUGCAAUCAAAAAAUGCAAGCUUACAUACAUCUAAUAACUGAGCAUCAAAUGCAAACUCUAUACUACUAUCCUUUUUUAAAGUAAAGACGAAAAAGAAGACAACUAAUGACCUCAGAAACCUCGAUUUUUAAACCUCGAUGUUGGCGAGUAAUUUUUUAUCCCAUUUAAAAGUUGGUUGCACCUGGCCAAGCACUACCAUUAAGAAUAAGCACAUUUGAAAUUCUAAAACAAAACAAAUAUUUUAUUUUUAAAAAGUCCUUGUAAUAAGAACAUAAUUUAAUCACAUUGUACCUUUUAAUAUACAGUUCCUUUUUAAAAAUUUCAUUUCUGACAUUAGAUAUUAUAGUCAAGUUUUCUUUCUGUGGUGG
rnacentral:misc_RNA from 1 species